ACCGAACUGCAAUCUUUAUCAGAUAGCUUUCGGAUUUUAUUUCUCACUCUAUGGGUGUCAGAAAAAUAUGAAACCUUAAAUCUAGCCUCAUAAAAAUAUUUCUGACAUCUCCGCCAAUUUUCAUAAUUUUCUGAGACUGUGCAUUUUCUGCUUAUUUUUCUGUCCCGUCUCCAACAGAAAAUUCUAGAUCUUCUGUUUUAAUUCCGAUUUCAGCACAAAUCACCUCUGACUUAUGUUUUACCUCUAUAAAUCUAAUAAAAAUAGUUUCUCACACUAUUUUUAUUUAUUAUUAUUUUUAUACCAAAAUCUGGUAUAUUACAUUCUCCACCCCUUAAAAAGAAUUUCGUCCGCGAAAUUCAAACCACAACUCGAUUCAGCUCCUCGAGUAAUUGAGGGCACCAAUACACUUUUCCACUUC
rnacentral:lncRNA from 1 species